rnacentral:misc_RNA from 1 species
GAUGAAGAACGCAGCGAAAUGCGAUAAGUAGUGUGAAUUGCAGAAUUCAGUGAAUCAUCGAAUCUUUGAACGCACAUUGCGCCCCUUGGUAUCCCGAGGGGCAUGCCUGUUCGAGCGUCAUUUCACCACUCAAGCCUGGCUUGGUGUUGGGCGACGUCCUCUUUGGGGACGCGCCUCGAAACGCUCGGCGGCGUGGCACCGGCUUUAAGCGUAGCAGAAUCUUUCGCUUUGGAAGUCGGGGCCCCGUCUGCCGGAAGACCUGCUCGCAAGGUUGACCUCGGAUCAGGCAGGGAUACCCGCUGAACUUAAGCAUAUCAAUAAGCGGA